GACGAACGCUGGCGGCGUGCCUAAUACAUGCAAGUUGAGCGAUGAAGAUUGGUGCUUGCACCAAUUUGAAGAGCAGCGAACGGGUGAGUAACGCGUGGGGAAUCUGCCUUUGAGCGGGGGACAACAUUUGGAAACGAAUGCUAAUACCGCAUAACAACUUUAAACAUAAGCUUUAAGUUUGAAAGAUGCAAUUGCAUCACUCAAAGAUGAUCCCGCGUUGUAUUAGCUAGUUGGUGAGGUAAAGGCUCACCAAGGCGAUGAUACAUAGCCGACCUGAGAGGGUGAUCGGCCACAUUGGGACUGAGACACGGCCCAAACUCCUACGGGAGGCAGCAGUAGGGAAUCUUCGGCAAUGGACGAAAGUCUGACCGAGCAACGCCGCGUGAGUGAAGAAGGUUUUCGGAUCGUAAAACUCUGUUGGUAGAGAAGAACGUUGGUGAGAGUGGAAAGCUCAUCAAGUGACGGUAACUACCCAGAAAGGGACGGCUAACUACGUG
rnacentral:rRNA from 1 species